AGCAGCCGCGGUAAUUCCAGCUCCAAUAGCGUAUAUUAAAGUUGUUGCAGUUAAAAAGCUCGUAGUUGAAUUUCGGGAUUGACGUGAUGGUCGUGCCUUAAGGGGUAUGAACUGUCGCAGUUGAUUUCUCACCUUCUGGAGAAGCAUGAUGUCCUUAAUUGGGUGUCAUGUGGAACCAGGACCUUUACCUUGAAAAAAUUGAGUGUUUAAAGCAGGCAUUUUGCUCGAAUACAUUAGCAUGGAAUAAUAGAAUAGGACGGCAUGGUUCUAUUUUGUGGUUUCUAGGAUCACCGUAAUGAUUAAUAGGGAUAGUUGGGGGCAUUAGUAUUCAAUUGUCAGAGGUGAAAUUCUUGGAUUUAUUGAAGACUAACUACUGCGAAAGCAUUUGCCAAGGAUG
rnacentral:rRNA from 1 species